CCUACGGGUGGCAGCAGUGAGGAAUAUUGGUCAAUGGGCGGAAGCCUGAACCAGCCAAGUAGCGUGCGGGAUGAAGGCCCUACGGGUCGUAAACCGCUUUUGCACGGGGAUAACACCCUCCACUUGUGGAGGUCUGCAGGUACCGUGCGAAUAAGGGCCGGCUAAUUCCGUGCCAGCAGCCGCGGUAAUACGGAGGGACCGGGGGUUAUCCGGAUUCAUUGGGGUUAAUGGGAGCGUAGGGGGGGGGUAAAGUCAGCUGUAAAAUCGCGGGGCUCAACCGCGCCCCGCAGUUGAAACUGGACGGCUUGAGUGCACAACAGGCAGGCGGAAUUCGUGGUGUAGCGGUGAAAUGCAUAGAUAUCACGAGGAACCCCGAUUGCGAAGGCAGCCUGCCGGGGUGCGACUGACGCUGAGGCUCGAAGGUGCGGGUAUCAAACAGGAUUAGAUACCCUUGUAGUC
rnacentral:rRNA from 1 species